rnacentral:miRNA from 1 species
UCAGCAGAAGGCAACCCGAAGCCUCCGGAGCGCAGCGGGAGUUCCUGCUGUGCUCUGGAGGCUUUGGGUUCCUUUCACUGA